ensembl:snRNA U6 U6 spliceosomal RNA
GCUCGCUUCGGCAGCACAUACUAAAAUUGGAACAAUACAGGGAAGAUUAGCAUGGUUUCUGUACAAGGAUGACAUGCAAAUUCAUGAAGCGUUCCGUAUUUUU